CGGAACGUGCCCAGUUGUGGGGGAUAACUACUCGAAAGAGUAGCUAAUACCGCAUGAGAACUGAGGUUGAAAGCAGGGGAUCGUAAGACCUUGCGCAACUGGAGCGGCCGAUGGCAGAUUAGGUAGUUGGUGGGAUAAAAGCUUACCAAGCCGACGAUCUGUAGCUGGUCUGAGAGGACGACCAGCCACACUGGGACUGAGACACGGCCCAGACUCCUACGGGAGGCAGCAGUGGGGAAUUUUGGACAAUGGGCGAAAGCCUGAUCCAGCAAUGCCGCGUGCAGGAUGAAGGCCUUCGGGUUGUAAACUGCUUUUGUACGGAACGAAAAGCUUCGGGUUAAUACCCUGGAGUCAUGACGGUACCGUAAGAAUAAGCACCGGCUAACUACGUGCCAGCAGCCGCGGUAAUACGUAGGGUGCAAGCGUUAAUCGGAAUUACUGGGCGUAAAGCGUGCGCAGGCGGUCUUGUAAGACAGAGGUGAAAUCCCCGGGCUCAACCUGGGAACUGCCUUUGUGACUGCAAGGCUGGAGUGCGGCAGAGGGGGAUGGAAUUCCGCGU
rnacentral:rRNA from 1 species